rnacentral:tRNA from 1 species
GGAGAGGUGGCCGAGCGGUUUAAGGCACCAGUCUUGAAAACUGGCGAUCCUGCAAGGGACCGUGGGUUCGAAUCCCACCCUCUCCGCCA